rnacentral:rRNA from 1 species
GCAGUAGCCACGGUAAUACGUAGGUGGCAAGCGUUAUCCGGAUUUACUGGGUGUAAAGGGAGCGUAGACGGAAUGGCAGUCUGAAGUGAAAUGCCCGGGCUCAACCCGGGAACUGCUUUGGAAACUGUCGAUCUGGAGUGUUGGAGAGGUAAGUGGAAUUCCUGGUGUAGCGGUGAAAUGCGUAGAGAUCAGGAAGAACACCGGAGGCGAAGGCGGCUUACUGGACCUGUACUGACGCUCAUGCACGAAAGCGUGGGGAGCGAACAGGAUUAGAUACCCCUGUAGUCCCUGUCUCUUAUACA